CAUGUAGGCGGAUUAAUAAGUUUGAAGUGAAAUCCUAUAGCUUAACUAUAGAACUGCUUUGAAAACUGUUAAUCUAGAAUGUGGGAGAGGUAGAUGGAAUUUCUGGUGUAGGGGUAAAAUCCGUAGAGAUCAGAAGGAAUACCAAUUGCGAAGGCGAUCUACUGGAACAUUAUUGACGCUGAGAUGCGAAAGCGUGGGGAGCAAACA
rnacentral:rRNA from 1 species